rnacentral:rRNA from 1 species
GUCUCUAAGCAAUGGAUGUCUUGGCUCCUCACACGAUGAAGAACGUGGCAUAAUGUGUUAAGUAACCGGAGUUGCAAACAUCAUGACAGGUUAAUCUUUGAAUGCAAAUGCGCUAAACUC